UUAAGGCUUUCUGGGAGAUGAUAUAUAAUGAAAUGAAAAAGGUAUUUAAAUAUACCUUCUUGAAGAAACCAGAGGCCUUUCUCCUGGGCAUCGUAGGCCAAUUGGUGCCAAGGAAGGAUAGAACUUUUUUAUGUAUGCCACGACAGCAGCAAGAAUACUUAUUGCAAAGUAUUGGAAGACACAAGAUCUACCCACCCUGGAAGAAUGGCAGAUGAAGGUGAUGGACUAUAUGGAACUGGCAGAAAUGACCGGCAGAAUCCGAGACCAGGGAGAAGAGUUGGUGGAAGAAGAUUGGAAGAAAUUUAAAGACUAUCUACAGAAAUAUUGUAAAAUUAAUGAAUGUUAGAAUGAUGUUGGAUAAAAAGUUAAGUGGUUUUUAGCUAUAACGAUAUAAGGAAUAUGAAAAAAUGGAUUAUUAACAGGUAAAAAUUUAAGGUUACAAUAUUUUAAGAUUAAAGACUAGGAUAAACAAAGAGGGAAAGGAUUUGCUGAACUAAUAAAUUGAACUGGAAUACAAAAAAGGGAGGUGUGAGGAGGUCCGGGAAACAAGCAAAUGAAAGAUAAGUGUUGGAAAGAUGGAAUUGUUUUUUAACUAUUUUUAUUUUGUAUUUUUCUUUUUUCAUUUUGUAAAAUUUUAAUAAAUAUCUUUU